rnacentral:tRNA from 1 species
GGGGUUGUGGCUCAGUGGCAGAUCACUUGCCUAGCAAGCAUGAGGCACUGGGUUCAAUCCCCGGCACCACA